GGAGCCCGGGCCGCCGCCUCCCGCGCCCGGGCUCGCCGGUCCCUGAGGCCGGGCCCGGGCGGGGAACGGGGGAUCCGCGCUGCAGGCGCCGCCGCACGACCCGAGCCCCGGAGCUGGCCGGGUCACGCUCGCGCUCGUGCACGCCGUCUCGGCGUUCGCCGUUGCUGGGCAACGCCCGUGACGUCACAGGACGGAACGUUGAGUGCGAGGCAGAGCCCGGGGGCAGGGGAUGCAGCUGGCGGUAGGAACUAUCCUACCCCAUCCUCUGCUCUGUCUCCCAAGUCUCGCAGCUCCAGCCCAGUGAGGUUCAGCCGCCGGGCAGAAGUGGCAAGGGACCAAGGGAUCAAACUCAGGUCAGCAGGUUUGACAAAAUGCACUGAGCCAGCUCACUGGCCCUUCUACGUUUUUCUCAGAGGACUUCCAUGAAGCCUCCCUUCCCAACCCCUUCAGACCUUUCUGGGCCCUGGUGGCCAAGACCUCUGUCCCAUGCCAGCUGUGGCCAUAUUCGACAACCAAAAGCAAAGCAGGAAAACAAUGGCGAACAUCAAGGAACUUCCGCAACAGACUGUGUAGAAUGUGGUUUAUUUGUCUCAAAGUGCACAUGAGAGAACUGUGGUGGUGGUCUGCACAGAGACAGAGCCAUGGCCUGUGCGUAAGGCACCGUCUGAACACACGGGCUCCAGACUGCGCCAUGUGUACCAUGCGAUCAAGAAAUGCUUCGGAAGAAAUGUCAAAGGGCAUGGGGAAGGCUGGUCCCUUGGAUGCGUGGAGGUUCUCCUGGUAUUGUACACAUUGGCGAUUCACACUCCGAACAUACCCUCCUGGAGAGCCCUGGCCUAGAGUCUGGGUCAAGUCGUUACCAAGUUUCCUCGGGUGUAACUCUCUGGGGUUGGGCACAGGACGUGCUAACCUCUCUGCUCCCAGGCAUGCAGGUGGGCGUGGCAUGGAAGGACUGCCUCUCAUAUUCAAUCUAGAGAUGGUGUCUCCUGUGAAAGAGUUCCACAGGCACCUUUCUCUCCACCCCUCACAAGAGACCUCACUUGAAAGAAACAGCAAUAUACUGAGCUAAGGCCUUAUCCUAA